rnacentral:rRNA from 1 species
CCUACGGGAGGCAGCAGUGGGGGAUAUUGCACAAUGGGGGAAACACUGAUGCAGCGACGCCGCGUGAGUGAAGAAGUAUUUCGGUAUGUUAAGCUCUAUCAGCCGGGGAGAAAAUGACAGUACCUGACCACGAAGCCCCGGCUAACUACGUGCCAGCAGCCGCGGUAAUACGUAGGGGGCAAGCGUUAUCCGGAUUGACUGGGUGUAAAGGGAGCGUAGACGGUAAUGUAAGUCUGGAGGUAAAGGCCGGGGCCCAACCCCGGGACGGCUCUGGAAACUGGGUAACUGGAGUACAGGAGGGGCAGGCGGAAUGCCUGGUGUAGCGGUGAAAUGCGUAGAUAUCAGGAGGAACACCGGCGGCGAAGGCGGUCUGCUGGACUGAAACUGACGUUGAGGCUCGAAAGCGUGGGGAGCAAAUAGGUUUAGAUACCCCUGUAGUC